rnacentral:rRNA from 1 species
UGGGGAAUAUUGCACAAUGGGCGCAAGCCUGAUGCAGCCAUGCCGCGUGUAUGAAGAAGGCCUUCGGGUUGUAAAGUACUUUCAGCGGGGAGGAAGGGAGUAAAGUUAAUACCUUUACUCAUUGACGUUACCCGCAGAAGAAGCACAGGCUAACUCCGUGCCAGCAGCCGCGGUAAUACGGAGGGUGCAAGCGUUAAUCGGAAUUACUGGGCGUAAAGCGCACGCAGGCGGUUUGUCAAGUCGGAUGUGAAAUCCCCGGGCUCAACCUGGGAACUGCAUUCGAAACUGGCAGGCUAGAGUCUUGUAGAGGGGGGUAGAAUUCCAGGUGUAGCGGUGAAAUGCGUAGAGAUCUGGAGGAAUACCGGUGGCGAAGGCGGCCCCCUGGACAAAGACUGACGCUCAGGUGCGAAAGCGUGGGGAGCAAACAGG